AUUAAGCUUCUUUGUUUCAGCGCUUGAGAAGCUGUUAAAAGAUCAUGCUGGAAAAUAUGCGACUGGAGAUGAAGUUUCCAUGGAAGAUCUGUUUCUAGCACUACAGAUUCUGGCUGGGAUUGAACGAUUCAAUGUUGACAUGGAAGCAAGAAGAGUCUGGUUGAUGCUAUUGAGAAAGGGAUUGAUCUAUGCAAACAAAUACUAGAACUGUAUAAUGAUUAUUACCAUGGCGGACUGAUGAAGUUAGUGGUAAUUGGUGGUGAGUCUUUGGAUGUACUUCAGCACUGGGUUGUUGAAUUAUUUUCUGACGUCAGACAAGGUUCUCAAGGAAAGCCAGAGUUUAAGGUGGAAGGUCCUGUCUGGAGAGCUGGUAAACUUUACAGGUUAGAGGCAGUUAAGGAUGUCCAUAUCCUUGAAUUAAGGUAGGCACUGCCUUGUCUUUUGCAAGCGUAUCUGCAGAAACCAGAAGAUUAUCUGGCUCAUCUUCUUGGCCAUGGUAUGUAAUUCUGUAUUAUCCUAAUGCUUAAGUAGUACGUUGCUCAUGGAAAUAAUAAUAACAAAGAAAAGGAUGCAUGUGCAAAUAUGAAGAAAAUGUGAACUGUCCAGUUUUGAUGCCUUAAAAGUAAUAAGUUAUUCUUGAUUUGCCUGUAAAUGUGGAUGCUAUUUUUCAUUUGAUUCAAUUUCUAUGCUUGCUUAUAUGCAUA